rnacentral:rRNA from 1 species
UACGAAGGGGGCUAGCGUUGCUCGGAAUUACUGGCGUAAAGCGCACGUAGGCGGAUUGUUAAGUCGGGGUGAAUCCUGGAGCUCAACUCCAGAACUGCCUUCGAUACGGGCAGGCUCGAGUUCGGUAGGGAGACUGGAAUCCUGGUGUAGCGGUGAAAUGCGCAGAUAUCAGGAGGAACACCGGUGGCGAAGGCGGUCUCUGGGCCGAUACUGACGCUGAGGAGCGAAGCGUGGGAGCGAACAGG